UACAGAGGUCUCAAGCGUUGUUCGGAUUCAUUGGGCGUAAAGAGCGUGUAGGCGGCCAAACAGGUCCACUGUGAAAACUCGAGGCUCAACCUCGAGAGGUCGGUGGAAACCGUCUGGCUAGAGUCCGGAAGAGGAGAGUGGAAUUCCUGGUGUAGCGGUGAAAUGCGCAGAUAUCAGGAAGAACACCCGUGGCGAAGGCGGCUCUCUGGGACGGUACUGACGCUGAGACGCGAAAGCGUGGGGAGCGAACAGG
rnacentral:rRNA from 1 species